rnacentral:rRNA from 1 species
GACGAACCGUGCGAACGUUAUUCGGAAUCACUGGGCUUAAAGCGCGUGUAGGCGGGCCGGCGCGUCCGGGGUGAAAUCCCACGGCUCAACCGUGGAACGGCCCCGGGUACGGGCGGUCUCGAGGGGGGUAGGGGCGUGCGGAACUGUGGGUGGAGCGGUGAAAUGCGUUGAUAUCCACAGGAACUCCGGUGGCGAAGGCGGCACGCUGGACCCCUUCUGACGCUGAGGCGCGAAAGCCAGGGGAGCGAACGGG